rnacentral:snRNA from 1 species
AUACUUUCCUGGCAGAGGAGAUACCAUGAUCAUGAUGGUAGUUUUCCCAGGGUAAGGCUCAUCCAUUGCACUCUGGGUGUGCUGCCCCCUGUGAUUUCCCCAACUGCGGGAAACUCCACUGCAUAAUUUGUACUAGUGGGGCACUGCGUUCAUGCUUUCCCCUU